rfam:Triticum aestivum genome assembly, contig: Triticum_aestivum_CS42_TGACv1_scaffold_328461_4BS
AAGUUACUCCCUCCGUCCGAAAAUACUUGUCAUAAAAAUGGAUAAAAGAGGAUGUAUCUAGACGUAUUUUAGUUCUAUAUACAUUUUUUUUUGUUCAUUUUGAUGACAAGUAUUUCCGGACGGAGGGAGUACUAC